rnacentral:rRNA from 1 species
UGAGGAAUAUUGGUCAAUGGGAGGAAUCCUGAACCAGCCAUGCCGCGUGCAGGACGACGGCUCUACGAGUUGUAAACUGCUUUUGUACCGGGGUAAAAUGCUCUACCGAGUAGGGUUUUG